AGGGUCGCUCAUGUGGGGAGAUGGGUGAGCAAGAAGAAGCUGUUCAGGGUAACUCUCAGGUUUCUGGUCUGACCACCUGGUCAGCUAAUAGUGGUUUCAUGAACUGAGCUAAUGCAUAUGAGGGCGAGGGGAGGGGCAGUUUUGAAGACGUGGAUGAUGAGUUGAGUUUAGUCUGACGUGCCUGUGGAACAACCAAAAGGACAAAACCAGGGUGGGGAGAUUUAGUUUGAGACACAACAGCUGACAUAUGGUCAUUCAGAUGAAAUAGUACCUACAGUCACCUAGGGAGGGCUCACAGUGGCACGAGGUUGGGGGACCAAGAGUGAAACUUGGAGCACAUGGCCAUUUAAGAGGUGAACUUUGUUCCAGAAAGUUACGAAUAAAAACUAUCC